UGCAGUGAUUUUCCUCCUGGAAUUCCCCUUCCAUAUUCUUACUCUGUGUCUGUGUACAAGUCACAUAUGAGCUGCUCUAGGCCAGUUGACCAAAAACGAUGAAGACGGUGAUGAAGAUGGAGAGUAAAUGGCUCCCAAGGACUAUUGAGAUAGAAGCAGGCAGGUCGAUGUUACUGAUAUUCAGGCAGAAACAGUGUGAAGACACAUUGGCCUCACCCUCCUCAUCCACUGGAGCAUCUGCAGAACCAGACAGAUAAUAUAUAAUAGAUAAUAUUCAUUCAUUAAA